rnacentral:rRNA from 1 species
CCUAUGGGGUGCAGCAGUCGCGAAAACUUUGCAAUACACGCAAGUGUGACAGGGCUAUCCCGAGUGCCGCCCGCUGAGGGUGGCUUUUGCUCAGUUUAGCAAGCUGGGAGAAUAAGGAGAGGGCAAGUCUGGUGUCAGCCGCCGCGGUAAUACCAGCUCUCCGAGUGGUGUGGAUGUUUAUUGGGCCUAAAGCAUCCGUAGCUUGCUGUUCAAGUCCCCUGUUAAAUCCAAUGAAUUAAUUGUUGGUGUGCGGGGGAUACUGUUCGGCUAGGGGACGGGAGAGGCAGACGGUAUUUUCGGGGUAGGGGUGAAAUCCUAUAAUCCCGGGAAGACCACCAGUGGCGAAGGCUGUCUGCUAGAACGCGCCCGACGGUGAGGGAUGAAAGCUGGGGGAGCGAACCGGAUUAGAUACCCAUGUAGUCC